AGCAGAGAGUCCCAAAUAGGACGAAACGCGCGUCCUGGAU
rnacentral:hammerhead_ribozyme from 1 species